UCUGCUGGUGAGACGAUGUGUUCACAGGAAACCUGAAGAUGGAAAAGAAGCUGAAGAAGAUGACAUCAUCACUUAUGUCAUGUACUGUGAUGUCAAAACAUCAGAACUUAAAAAAACGGAAGAAUCAGAAGACGCAGAGACAGAAAUUCAGCUGCAGUCGACUCAGCAGUGAGAACUGAAGACGUCAGUUAUGAACAAACAUACAUCAGAAUAAGGAGGCCCAGACUUUAAACCAGAGCCAGACGUCGUCUAAUCUUCCAGUCCAACCACUGACGCCCAACUGCUGGUCUCUAACUGGUCUCCCCAGCACCUCAGACCAGAGGACAUCCACAUCUUAUUUAUAAUUUUUAAUUUCCUCUAUAACAUGUAAAAGCGUUCCGUAUCAGUUCUCUGCAGGAUCAAUAAACUCAGUCAA